GGCCCGUUUUUAUACACCAGUGAAAACCCGGGAAUGAGUUCGUGCAUUCAAGUGACUGCGAUGAGAAGAGCAGGAUAUUCCUCCCGGGUUUCACUAGAAGCAAAGCGUCCUGAGGCCUGGUGCCUUCAGUGCCUUCACAAAGACCCCCUUCUCUGCUUUAAGUGAAAGCUAGAGGAAUGAAGGGCACUUGGCCUGGGAGACCACCCAAGAACAGUGCUUCGUUCAUCACCCGGAGACAGUGGCCUGUUCAAAAGAGGAUUUCUCAACUUUAGAAGGAUGAUUCUGGCUGUGGUGUUGAGAAGAGACUCCAGCGAGGAUGGAAGUUGAGACAAACGUGGCAGCAAGAAGACCCUCUAAGGAGCUACGGCAAUAGUAAGGAUUGGCAGUGGCUUGGGAGAGCCACCGUAUCGUCUCUGUGUCAAUGGAGAAGGU